rnacentral:rRNA from 1 species
CGGUAACACCCGGUAAGCCCGGUACGGCCCAAACCGGCGAAGGACGGGACGCCCGGUCGAAGGUGGGACUCGGCGAUUGGGGUG